UACGUAGGCAGCAAGCGUUGUUCGGAGUUACUGGGCGUAAAGGGCGCGUAGGCGGCGCAUCAAGUCAGGCGUGAAAGCCCUGGGCUCAACCCGGGAAUUGCGCUUGAGACUGGUGUGCUUGAGUACGGGAGAGGAUAGUGGAAUUCCCAGUGUAGAGGUGAAAUUCGUAGAUAUUGGGAAGAACACCAGUGGCGAAGGCGAUCAUCUGGGGUUGCUCUGACACUGAGGAGCGAAAGCUAGGGGAGCAAACGGG
rnacentral:rRNA from 1 species